AAGAUGCGUGUGCAGUAAUGCCACCCCUACUGAACUCUGCUGACAAAUAGCGUGCAUUGGAGCGCCUGAAGAGUCGUCGACAUCGUCGUCAACCCUUCUGAAAAAAAUACGGACUCUCGUACGCCCAGAGGCAGCGCGCGGACGAAAAAGAAAGGUGACUGUGUGAGCCACCUGAUCGAUCGUACAAUAUCCUAGCCUAGCCUAGCCUAGCUCACCUAAAAGUCAAAUCAUGUCAGGCGGGAAUUUGAGAUGCGUGGUCGUGGCCGUCGAUGGCAGCCAGGAGAGCAUGAGCGCCUUGAAAUGGGCGCUCGAUAACAUAAAGCUGCGAUCCCCUACGGUAGAGUCCCCCGAUGACGGUGCUUUCGUUGUUCUUCACGUCCAAUCCCCUCCGUCCAUCGCCGCCGGUCUCAGCCCCGGCGCCAUCCCCUUUGGCGGGCCCAGUGAUUUGGAGGUGCCUGCGUUCUUUGCGGCUAUCGAGGCGCACCAGAGACGGAUCACCGAAGCGAUACUGGAUCACGCUUCCCGGAUCUCCUCUGAAUACAACGUGAAUGUCGAAACGAAAGUAGUCGUCGGCGAUUCAAAAGAGAAGAUUUGUGAAGUUGUAGAUACUUUGCAUGCUGAUUUGCUUGUGAUGGGCUCCCGUGCUUUUGGCCCUCUUAAAAGGGUUUUUAUUUCUCUAAUGUUGCUCAAAUAUCUCCGUGGACAUGAACAAUGACGGAUGUUUUUGGGAAGUGUAAGCAACUAUUGCACAAACCAUGCACAAUGCCCAGUCAUCAUAGUCAAGGGAAAGGACAAUGCCUGAUUAGCUUAUCUUUCAUCCACUUGCCCUCGUUUUGUGCUGAUGGUAAUAGGGCUCCAAGAUAUGUUGUACUUAAUAGAGAACAUUUGAGAUCUGUGACUAAGUUCUGUUUUGUGACGAGUUGCAGUCGGACGUGCUUCUGGCCAUCUAUGCCGUAUUAUCACUCCACAUCCUACGCAAGCUGUUUUGGAGAAAUUUAGUUAUGUUUUGUGUUCUUGUUGUAAACUGAUGUCAUAUCGAUACAUAGCUUAAUUUUAUUCAUUUAUUGCCUUCGACGGUGUGGGAUUGAUAUGUUGUAUAUUGUGUUCUUGUUUUGUGUUUCUCUUUUGAUUCCCAA